rnacentral:rRNA from 1 species
GAUGAACGCUGGCGGCGUGCUUAACGCAUGCAAGUCGAACGGAAAGGCCUCUGCUUGCAGGGGUACUCGAGUGGCGAACGGGUGAGUAACACGUGGGUGAUCUGCCCUGCACUUCGGGAUAAGCCUGGGAAACUGGGUCUAAUACCGGAUAGGACAAUGGUUUGGAUGCUGUUGUGGAAAGUUUUUCGGUGUGGGAUGAGCUCGCGGCCUAUCAGCUUGUUGGUGGGGUAAUGGCCUACCAAGGCGUCGACGGGUAGCCGGCCUGAGAGGGUGUACGGCCACAUUGGGACUGAGAUACGGGCCACACUCCUACGGGAGGCAGCAGUGGGGAAUAUUGCACAAUGGGCGCAAGCCUGAUGCAGCGACGCCGCGUGGGGGAUGACGGCCUUCGGGUUGUAAACUCCUUUCGCUAGGGACGAAGCGUUUUUGUGACGGUACCUGGAGAAGAAGCACCGGCUAACUACGUG